rnacentral:lncRNA from 1 species
GUGUCGCAUGCUUCUGCAACAAAGGCGGUACGCUGGCAUGGGUUACUGGUCGCGGACCCGCGCGAGUGCGGCACUCGCAUAAGAGACGGGGCUGGAGUAUAUAUUCUGCCGGCGCAUAGGGGAAGUGGCUUGUCGUCUCUGCAGGGAUAGAGCGGUUCACGGGGAGGUCCGCCGCUGGACGAUUAACUUGAAACACGAAGCCACGUGUUUGUUAACGGCGUGAGGCCGGAACCCUCUCGGCAAACGUCACAUUGCAGCCUCCUAGGCAUGCUGCGUUGUUUCUUAUUUUUGUUUUUCGGUUGAAUCACGAGCGUCUCUCCUCGGCAUUGAGCGCUGCGCAGCCAUGAGAGUCUGGCCUGGGUGUGCGUCAGUGAUGCUCUAUUAGAGCGUGCUGUCAUAGCGACUCGCCUUAAGUGUGCCGGUGUGUGCCAUCGUGGACAGUUUGUCUGCAUCUCGACGUGCCUACACCGUUAUGACGCGCCACGUCCUGAUGAGACGUUUUGUCCUUGGUGGUGGUGUCCAGAAGAAAAUAGUGAGUACAUUGAUCUGGAACGCGUUGGGGGGGUCGUUGGUUUGGAUUUAGAGCGGCGUCGCUCUGAGAAGGAAGCUGCAAAUGUGCAUUUCCAGCUUCUUAGGAGGAUGAGAGGCAUAGUGACUAUGGUUUCGUGAUUAGGAGGGCAGUGAAGCUAUGUGCAUCAUUCGUAUCCAUAAGAGGAGUGUGUUGAGGUUUGAUUUGUUGUAGGGUGUCGGAAGCCGCAAGGGUGAGGGGUGUAGGCGGUGGCAGGACACGGCUGCACGUAUUGGCAGUUAAGCGUGGUAGGUGCAUUUAUCCGGUUGAAGGCUACGGGAGGUAGGUGGGAACGCGUUACGAACGGUAGAUCUCUGCCUCAACUCGGGGAGCCUCUCAGUGUCACCGGCUGCACAUAUGCAAUUUGUUGUGUUGUGUGCUUUUUAAGAAAAAAGUAGGGGCUCUUCGUCGUCAGCACGAGAUUCGACAGCGUGACGACACGAAGGAAUCGGUGUCCGCAACGAGUAGUGUGCAGCGCAGCAUCACAUAUCCCACAGCGUAUACUACCAAACGGGGUCAUGAUGUGCUCCGAAGUGUGCGGCAUGAGGUUCUGGAGCAGGCAUCGCUCCCCAUGCCUGCCGCUCCGUAACUUUAGGAAUUGCAACACGGGCAAGUCAGAGGCGGGGAGCCGCAGCCGUCCGGGGGGUCACAUUAGACAAGCCGUUUGCCUUAUGUUCGUGAAACUCGUGUCGGGGUACCUAUCAACGUGGCGAUGCGCGCACGUGAGCCAAAACAGACUAUUGCGACCGUGUCGCUUAACCCUGAACUGGGGAGGUCGUAUCAGCGUGUAUGCGGCGUCAGCGAUGUUGUUGUGCGCUUCAGUACGCAGCGUUGUCAGCGGGUCCGGUGCCUCUAGCAAAAUAGCCUGCGUUUUCUGGUGCCUCUCCGGUAAAUUUCCACGUCGUAUUUCUUUCGGUUCAAGGGAUACAGGCAUAGCUGUCCCGAUGAUGGUUUCAGCUUCCGUUCCUGACUUGUUUUCCACUUUACUCGGUUCCUUCGCCUACCGCCGUUCCUAGUCUGCAUCAUUGCACGGGCGGCGUGAGGGCUGCAAAAUUACUCCACUCCUUUUUCGCUUUACGGUCACGGCCGUGAGACGCUAGCAGUCAAUUAUGGGAGUCUGCAGAUAAUGGGCAGAGUAGAGGAGAGACACACGAGAUCGGCAAUAGGUGUGAGAGUGUCUGGCCAGGUAGUCGAUGCUGUUUGUGUGGGGAUUUGUUGCAAGUUGUUGCGUGGCCACGGAAGGAGAUAUCAUGCAGACAGCACGCGAUCACCCGAGUUUGCUCAUAUGCCGCAGUGGCUGACGUGAAUGUACUGUCUUGCCUGUUCCGGUGACGGAGUAACAGACAGACUGCAGCAGGUUAGGGAGGCAGUGGCGUAAUGGAUGCUAUCCAGCAUAUCAACUGGAC